UACUGAAAAGCUUUAAGAAGCAUUGAAUUUUUAAUUCAAUGAUGGUUAAUCCUUCAGUAA
rnacentral:tRNA from 1 species